AAACCUCUGCCCAGAUCCGCCAUAGAGGAGCGCAGGAAACUCCUCUAAUCGCAUGGGCCGACCAUUUCCCUUCGCGUGCGCGGACCCGAGGCCCUUCUCCGCCUCCGGUCACGGGCAUAGCUCGAUUUCACCAUGAAACCUGCCCCUCCGCCGGGCCGGGCCGGGCCAUGUCGUCAUCGCCAUUUCCGGCCGCUGACCGCCGCCGCCAUGGAUGCCUCACCGUCGACUGGGCCCUCCGGUGUAGGCUGCUGCUGAUAGGUUCACAGUGGAGAUCUGGAAGUCGUGGUCUUGGUCCCAUUUUGCCUCUCGCCGUCGUGCGUCGCCGGCGAGCCCCCAUAGUGCCGCCACCAUUUCUCUCCUGUGCAAGCUCUGCAAGACCGAGCUGACCUGGUCAGCAUGGGCUCCGGUCCUACCUGCCAUGGCUAUGGCUAGCUGCUCUCGGGUGAAAGAAGGUUCAUAGCUUUUACUGUUAGUUAAUCCAGAUGACACGCGAAAUAGGUUAUUUGUUUAAUAGAAAAUGGCUGACUCCUGUAAAAUUUCACAGAAGCCUUAAUAGAUCUAAAAAAAUAGUGAAACCACCUUCGUUGGUUCUGUUA